AAUAAUGACUUUCUUUUAUUUCCAAUUCUACCAAAGAGGACAGAAGAAGCAGCCCAAAGUAAAAGACUUGAAGAAAUAUAGGCAAUGUAAGUAGGAUUAAGUGAUUUUGCUGUUUGUGGCGUUUCCUCGAAGUAGCUGGUUACCUCCAAAUGGGACGACAGUCAUGGAUGUUGAGAUGGCCUACGUCGCAGACUCGCGAGGACGGGCGGCUCAGAUGUUCGCUAGCGACCUACGACAGCUACAGGCUUACUGCCUAUGCCUGUAGAAGGGGACUUUGAGAUGUCAUGCUGAAGUUUUCUGGAGAUUAUCUGGUUUCAUUUUUGGGAAGCAGUCCACAUGGAAAAAUGACGCAGCCAAACUAAAGAUACGCUGGAUUGGUUCUUUCUAAUGUCUCUGUUAUUAAGAAGCAGGAAAAAUUGAAGAAUAAGAGCGGGAAAAUGUCAAAUUUACUUGGUCUACAACAAAGAAACCCUUUUAUUUGAUUGCUGUUCAUUCAUAUACAAGUUCACAGACAAGUCCUUCAACAAUGAGAAAAUGUUUAAAAAAUUGUACUUAAAAAUGUUUUGAUUUGUGUACAUUAAUCUGAAUAAUAAUGACUUUCUUUUAUUUCCAAUUCUACCAAAGAGGACAGAAGAAGCAGCUCAAAGUGAAAGACUUGAAGAAAUAUAGGCAAUGUAAGUAGGAUUAAGUGAUUUUGCUGUUUGUGGCGUUUCCCGAAGUAGCUGGUUACCUCCAAAUGGGACGACAGUCAUGGAUGUUGAGAUGGCCUACGUCGCAGAACUCGCGAGGACGGGCGGCUGGGAUGUUCGCUAGCGACCUACGACAGCUACAGGCUUUCUGCCUAUGCCUGUAGGAAGGGGACUUUGAGAUGUCAUGCUGAAGUUUUCUGGAGAUUAUCUGGUUUCAUUUUUUUGGGAAGCAGUCCACAUGGAAAAAUGAUGCAGCCUAACUAAAAGAUAUGCUCGAUUGGUUCUUUCUAAUGUCCCUGUUAUUAAGAAGCAGGAAAAAUUGAAGAAUAAGAGAGGGGAAAUGUCAAAUUUACUUGGUCUACAACAAAGAAACCCUUUUAUUUUAUUGCUGUUCUUCAUAUACAAGUUCACAGACAAGUCCUUCAACAAUGAGAAAAUGUUUAAAAAAAAUUGUGUAUAAAAAUGUUCAGCUGUUUCUUACAGAGUUAUCUCCUUAGUGUUAUGUAGGUGUCAGACCACCAUUACUCCCUCAAAUUUUGAACGUAUGUAAAAGUAGGCCUACUGUAACACAAAUAGUGCUUUUGAUGUCAUUGUUUACUUAAUUUUAACCAACAAAUUUGCAAAAUGAAACUUUUGGUGAAAGAGAAAUAUAUUUCGACCAUUUUGAGCUAAAAUUCACUUGUCUGUCAGUUUUGCAUUAAAAAUUUGGGAUUAAUGCGCUCUAUAGAAGUACACUAAUUUAAGAUUUCCAGAAAACCAGGGUUAUUUUUGGAGUACCGCUGUUUGAAGGUCAGAUGUACCACCUUAAUAGUCGAAUUUUGUAACAGAAUAUUAAAUUAAUCUUAAUUUGAAAACAAUUUGAUAUUGACAGAACAAAUAUCAAAUGAUCAUUUCAGAAAUACAUUGUGCUUCAAGUGCAAAGACUUUUCUAACAAUUAACAGUUGUUUUCUGAGCUAGUUCUGAUUGGUCAGGUUUUAUUGUCUGUUCUUGCUUUUGUUCUAUGGAUAGUUCAGUGGGUAUCUUUUUUUUCAGGAUAUGGUGUGCGUUAUUCAAAGGGAUUUUUUAUGUAAUUUUGAAAUGAUAUACAUUGAUAUUUGAUAGUAAUUGACCGAUUCAAUCACAAAAAACAUUCUUAUAAAGAAACCCUUUUAUUUUAUUGCUGUUCUUCAUAUUCAAGUUGACAGACAAGUCCUUCAACAAUGAGAAAAUGUAUCAAAAAAAAAUUGUUUAUAAAAUGUUUUGGUUUGUGUACAUUAAUCUGAAUAAUAAUGACUUUCUUUUAUUUCCAAAUUCUUACCAAAGAGCACGAGAAAGCAGCCCAAAGUAAAAGACUUGAAGAAAUAUAGCAAAUGUAAGUAGGAUUAAAAGUGAUUUUGCUGUUUGUGGCGUUUCCUCGAAGUAGCUGGUUACCUCCAAAUGGGACGACAGUCAUGGAUGUUGAGAUGGCCUACGUCGCAGACUCGCGAGGACGGGCGGCUCAGAUGUUCGCUAGCGACCUACGACAGCUACAGGCUUACUGCCUAUGCCUGUAGAAGGGGACUUUGAGAUGUCAUGCUGAAGUUUUCUGGAGAUUAUCUGGUUUCAUUUUUGGGAAGCAGUCCACAUGGAAAAAUGACGCAGCCAAACUAAAGAUACGCUGGAUUGGUUCUUUCUAAUGUCUCUGUUAUUAAGAAGCAGGAAAAAUUGAAGAAUAAGAGCGGGAAAAUGUCAAAUUUAGCAAAGAAAUUCUUUUAUUUUAUUGCUGUUCUUCAUAUACAAGUUCACAGACAAGUCCUUCAACAAUGAGAAAAUGUAUAUAAAUUUUGUGAUUUGUGUACAUGUAUCUGAAUAAGUAAUGACUUUCUUUAAUUCCCAAUUCCUACCAAAGAGGACAGAAGAAGCAGCUCAAAGUGAUAAGACUUGAAGAAAUAAUAGGCAAUAUGUAAGUUAGGGAUAAUGUUGAAUUUUGCUGUUUGUGUGUCGUUUCUCGAAGUAGCUGUUACCUCAAAUGGGACGACAGUCAUGGAUGUUGAGAUGGCCUACGUCGCAGACUCGCCGAGGACGUGCGGCUUGGGAUGUUCCUAGCCGACCUACGACAGCUACAGGCUUUUGGCCUAUGCCUGUAGAAGGGGACUUUGAGAUGUUUCAGCUGAAGUUUUCUGGAGAUUAUCUGGUUUCAUUUUUUGGAAGCAUCCACAUGGAAAAAUGGAUGCAGCCAAACUAAAGAUAUGCUCGAUUGGUUCUUUCUAAUGUCCCUGUUAUUAAGAAGCAGGAAAAAUUGAAGAAUAAGAGAGGGGAAAUGUCAAAUUUACUUGGUCUACAACAAAGAAACCCUUUUAUUUUAUUGCUGUUCUUCAUAUACAAGUUCACAGACAAGUCCUUCAACAAUGAGAAAAUGUUUAAAAAAAAUUGUGUAUAAAAAUGUUCAGCUGUUUCUUACAGAGUUAUCUCCUUAGUGUUAUGUAGGUGUCAGACCACCAAUUACUCCCUCAAAUUUUGAACGUAUGUAAAAGUAGGCCUACUGUAACACAAAAUAGUGCUUUUGAUGUCAUUGUUUACUUAAUUUAACCAACAAAUUUGCAGAAAUGAAACUUUUGGUGAAAGAGAAAUAUAUUUCGACCAUUUUGAGCUAAAAUUCACUUGUCUGUCAGUUUGCAUUAAAAAUUUUGGGAUUAAUGCGCUCUUAUAGUACACUAAUUUAAGAUUUCCAGAAAACCAGGGGUUAUUUUUGGAGUACCGCUGUUUUGAAGGUCAGAUGUACCACCUUAAUAGUCGAAUUUUGUAACAGAAUAUUAAAUUAAUCUUAAUUUGAAAACAAUUUGAUAUUGACAGAACAAAUAUCAAAUGAUCAUUUCAGAAAUACAUAAUUGUGCUUCAAGUGCAAAGACUUUUCUAACAAUUAACAGUUGUUUUCUGAGCUAGUUCUGAUUGGUCAGGUUUUAUUGUCUGUUUCUUGCUUUUGUUCUAUGGAUAGUUCAGUGGUAUCUUUUUUUUUCAGGAUAUGGUGUGCGUUAUUCAAAGGGAUCUUUUUAUGUAAUUUUGAAAUGAUAUACAUUUGAUAUUUGAUAGUAAUUGACCGAUUCAAUCCACAAAAAAACAUUCUUAUAAAGAAACCCUUUUAUUUUAUUGCUGUUCUUCAUAUUCAAGUUGACAGACAAGUCCUUCAACAAUGAGAAAAUGUAUCAAAAAAAUUGUUUAUAAAAAUGUUUUGGUUUGUGUACAUUAAUCUGAAUAAUAAUGACUUUCUUUUAUUUCCAAUUCUACCAAAGAGGACAGAAGAAGCAGCCCAAAGUGAAAGACUUGAAGAAAUAUAGGCAAUGUAAGUAGGAUUAAGUGAUUUUGCUGUUUGUGGCGUUUCCUCGAAGUAGCUGGUUACCUCCAAAUGGGACGACAGUCAUGGAUGUUGAGAUGGCCUACGUCGCAGACUCGCGAGGACGGGCGGCUCAGAUGUUCGCUAGCGACCUACGACAGCUACAGGCUUACUGCCUAUGCCUGUAGAAGGGGACUUUGAGAUGUCAUGCUGAAGUUUUCUGGAGAUUAUCUGGUUUCAUUUUUGGGAAGCAGUCCACAUGGAAAAAUGACGCAGCCAAACUAAAGAUACGCUGGAUUGGUUCUUUCUAAUGUCUCUGUUAUUAAGAAGCAGGAAAAAUUGAAGAAUAAGAGCGGGAAAAUGUCAAAUUUACUUGGUCUACAACAAAGAAACCCUUUUAUUUGAUUGCUGUUCAUCAUAUACAAGUUCACAGACAAGUCCUUCAACAAUGAGAAAAUGUUUUAAAAAAAUUGUACUUAAAAAUGUUUUGAUUUGUGUACAUUAAUCUGAAUAAUAAUGACUUUCUUUUAUUUCCAAUUCUACCAAAGAGGACAGAAGAAGCAGCCCAAAGUGAAAGACUUGAAGAAAUAUAGGCAAUGUAAGUAGGAUUAAGUGAUUUUGCUGUUUGUGGCGUUUCCUCGAAGUAGCUGGUUACCUCCAAAUGGACGACAGUCAUGGAUGUUGAGAUGGCCUACGUCGCAGACUCGCGAGGACGGGCGGCUGGGAUGUUCGCUAGCGACCUACGACAGCUACAGGCUUUCUGCCUAUGCCUGUAGAAGGGGACUUUGAGAUGUCAUGCUGAAGUUUUCUGGAGAUUAUCUGGUUUCAUUUUUGGGAAGCAGUCCACAUGGAAAAAUGAUGCAGCCAAACUAAAGAUAUGCUCGAUUGGUUCUUUCUAAUGUCCCUGUUAUUAAGAAGCAGGAAAAAUUGAAGAAUAAGAGAGGGGAAAUGUCAAAUUUACUUGGUCUACAACAAAGAAACCCUUUUAUUUUAUUGCUGUUCUUCAUAUACAAGUUCACAGACAAGUCCUUCAACAAUGAGAAAAUGUUUAAAAAAAAUUGUGUAUAAAAAUGUUCAGCUGUUUCUUACAGAGUUAUCUCCUUAGUGUUAUGUAGGUGUCAGACCACCAAUUACUCCCUCAAAUUUUGAACGUAUGUAAAAGUAGGCCUACUGUAACACAAAAUAGUGCUUUUGAUGUCAUUGUUUACUUAAUUUAACCAACAAAUUUGCAGAAAUGAAACUUUUGGUGAAAGAGAAAUAUAUUUCGACCAUUUUGAGCUAAAAUUCACUUGUCUGUCAGUUUGCAUUAAAAAUUUUGGGAUUAAUGCGCUCUAUAGUACACUAAUUUAAGAUUUCCAGAAAACCAGGGGUUUAUUUUUGGAGUACCGCUGUUUUGAAGGUCAGAUGUACCACCUUAAUAGUCAAAUUUUGUAACAGAAUAUUAAAUUAAUCUUAAUUUGAAAACAAUUUGAUAUUGACAGAACAAAUAUCAAAUGAUCAUUUCAGAAAUACAUAAUUGUGCUUCAAGUGCAAAGACUUUUCUAACAAUUAACAGUUGUUUUCUGAGCUAGUUCUGAUUGGUCAGGUUUUAUUGUCUGUUUCUUGCUUUUGUUCUAUGGAUAGUUCAGUGGUAUCUUUUUUUUUCAGGAUAUGGUGUGCGUUAUUCAAAGGGAUCUUUUUAUGUAAUUUUGAAAUGAUAUAUACAUUUGAUAUUUGAUAGUAAUUGACCGAUUCAAUCCACAAAAAAACAUUCUUAUAAAGAAACCCUUUUAUUUUAUUGCUGUUCUUCAUAUUCAAGUUGACAGACAAGUCCUUCAACAAUGAGAAAAUGUAUCAAAAAAAUUGUUUAUAAAAAUGUUUUGGUUUGUGUACAUUAAUCUGAAUAAUAAUGACUUUCUUUUAUUUCCAAUUCUACCAAAGAGGACAGAAGAAGCAGCCCAAAGUGAAAGACUUGAAGAAAUAUAGGCAAUGUAAGUAGGAUUAAGUGAUUUUGCUGUUUGUGGCGUUUCCUCGAAGUAGCUGGUUACCUCCAAAUGGGACGACAGUCAUGGAUGUUGAGAUGGCCUACGUCGCAGACUCGCGAGGACGGGCGGCUCAGAUGUUCGCUAGCGACCUACGACAGCUACAGGCUUACUGCCUAUGCCUGUAGAAGGGGACUUUGAGAUGUCAUGCUGAAGUUUUCUGGAGAUUAUCUGGUUUCAUUUUUGGGAAGCAGUCCACAUGGAAAAAUGACGCAGCCAAACUAAAGAUACGCUGGAUUGGUUCUUUCUAAUGUCUCUGUUAUUAAGAAGCAGGAAAAAUUGAAGAAUAAGAGCGGGAAAAUGUCAAAUUUAGCAAAGAAAUUCUUUUAUUUUAUUGCUGUUCUUCAUAUACAAGUUCACAGACAAGUCCUUCAACAAUGAGAAAAUGUUUAAAAAAAUUGUACUUAAAAAUGUUUUGAUUUGUGUACAUUAAUCUGAAUAAUAAUGACUUUCUUUUAUUUCCAAUUCUACCAAAGAGGACAGAAGAAGCAGCCAAAGUGAAAGACUUGAAGAAAUAUAGGCAAUGUAAGUAGGAUUAAGUGAUUUUGCUGUUUGUGCGUGGCGUUCUCUCGAAGUAGCUGGUUACCUCCAAGUAGCUGGUUACCUCCAAAUGGAACGACAGUCAUGGAUGUUGAGAUGGCCUACGUCGCAGACUCGCGAGGACGGGCGGCUGGGAUGUUCGCUAGCGACCUACGACAGCUACAGGCUUUCUGCCUAUGCCUGUAGAAGGGGACUUUGAGAUGUCAUGCUGAAGUUUUCUGGAGAUUAUCUGGUUUCAUUUUUGGGAAGCAGUCCACAUGGAAAAAUGAUGCAGCCAAACUAAAGAUAUGCUCGAUUGGUUCUUUCUAAUGUCCCUGUUAUUAAGAAGCAGGAAAAAUUGAAGAAUAAGAGAGGGGAAAUGUCAAAUUUACUUGGUCUACAACAAAGAAACCCUUUUAUUUUAUUGCUGUUCUUCAUAUACAAGUUCACAGACAAGUCCUUCAACAAUGAGAAAAUGUUUAAAAAAAAUUGUGUAUAAAAAUGUUCAGCUGUUUCUUACAGAGUUAUCUCCUUAGUGUUAUGUAGGUGUCAGACCACCAAUUACUCCCUCAAAUUUUGAACGUAUGUAAAAGUAGGCCUACUGUAACACAAAAUAGUGCUUUUGAUGUCAUUGUUUACUUAAUUUAACCAACAAAUUUGCAGAAAUGAAACUUUUGGUGAAAGAGAAAAUAUAUUUCGACCAUUUUGAGCUAAAAUUCACUUGUCUGUCAGUUUGCAUUAAAAAUUUUGGGAUUAAUGCGCUCUAUAGUACACUAAUUUAAGAUUUCCAGAAAACCAGGGGUUUAUUUUUGGAGUACCGCUGUUUUGAAGGUCAGAUGUACCACCUUAAUAGUCAAAUUUUGUAACAGAAUAUUAAAUUAAUCUUAAUUUGAAAACAAUUUGAUAUUGACAGAACAAAUAUCAAAUGAUCAUUUCAGAAAUACAUAAUUGUGCUUCAAGUGCAAAGACUUUUCUAACAAUUAACAGUUGUUUUCUGAGCUAGUUCUGAUUGGUCAGGUUUUAUUGUCUGUUUCUUGCUUUUGUUCUAUGGAUAGUUCAGUGGUAUCUUUUUUUUCAGGAUAUGGUGUGCGUUAUUCAAAGGGAUCUUUUUAUGUAAUUUUGAAAUGAUAUACAUUUGAUAUUUGAUAGUAAUUGACCGAUUCAAUCCACAAAAAAACAUUCUUAUAAAGAAACCCUUUUAUUUUAUUGCUGUUCUUCAUAUUCAAGUUGACAGACAAGUCCUUCAACAAUGAGAAAAUGUAUCAAAAAAAUUGUUUAUAAAAAUGUUUUGGUUUGUGUACAUUAAUCUGAAUAAUAAUGACUUUCUUUUAUUUCCAAUUCUACCAAAGAGGACAGAAGAAGCAGCCCAAAGUGAAAGACUUGAAGAAAUAUAGGCAAUGUAAGUAGGAUUAAGUGAUUUUGCUGUUUGUGGCGUUUCCUCGAAGUAGCUGGUUACCUCCAAAUGGGACGACAGUCAUGGAUGUUGAGAUGGCCUACGUCGCAGACUCGCGAGGACGGGCGGCUCAGAUGUUCGCUAGCGACCUACGACAGCUACAGGCUUACUGCCUAUGCCUGUAGAAGGGGACUUUGAGAUGUCAUGCUGAAGUUUUCUGGAGAUUAUCUGGUUUCAUUUUUGGGAAGCAGUCCACAUGGAAAAAUGACGCAGCCAAACUAAAGAUACGCUGGAUUGGUUCUUUCUAAUGUCUCUGUUAUUAAGAAGCAGGAAAAAUUGAAGAAUAAGAGCGGGAAAAUGUCAAAUUUACUUGGUCUACAACAAAGAAACCCUUUUAUUUGAUUGCUGUUCAUCAUAUACAAGUUCACAGACAAGUCCUUCAACAAUGAGAAAAUGUUUAAAAAAAUUGUGCUUAAAAAUGUUUUGAUUUGUGUACAUUAAUCUGAAUAAUAAUGACUUUCUUUUAUUUCCAAUUCUACCAAAGAGGACAGAAGAAGCAGCCCAAAGUGAAAGACUUGAAGAAAUAUAGGCAAUGUAAGUAGGAUUAAGUGAUUUUGCUGUUUGUGUGGCGUUUCCUCGAAGUAGCUGGUUACCUCCAAAUGGGACGACAGUCAUGGAUGUUGAGAUGGCCUACGUCGCAGACUCGCGAGGACGGGCGGCUGGGAUGUUCGCUAGCGACCUACGACAGCUACAGGCUUUCUGCCUAUGCCUGUAGAAGGGGACUUUGAGAUGUCAUGCUGAAGUUUUCUGGAGAUUAUCUGGUUUCAUUUUUGGGAAGCAGUCCACAUGGAAAAAUGAUGCAGCCAAACUAAAGAUAUGCUCGAUUGGUUCUUUCUAAUGUCCCUGUUAUUAAGAAGCAGGAAAAAUUGAAGAAUAAGAGAGGGGAAAUGUCAAAUUUACUUGGUCUACAACAAAGAAACCCUUUUAUUUUAUUGCUGUUCUUCAUAUACAAGUUCACAGACAAGUCCUUCAACAAUGAGAAAAUGUUUAAAAAAAAUUGUGUAUAAAAAUGUUCAGCUGUUUCUUACAGAGUUAUCUCCUUAGUGUUAUGUAGGUGUCAGACCACCAAUUACUCCCUCAAAUUUUGAACGUAUGUAAAAGUAGGCCUACUGUAACACAAAAUAGUGCUUUUGAUGUCAUUGUUUACUUAAUUUAACCAACAAAUUUGCAGAAAUGAAACUUUUGGUGAAAGAGAAAUAUAUUUCGACCAUUUUGAGCUAAAAUUCACUUGUCUGUCAGUUUGCAUUAAAAAAUUUGGGAUUAAUGCGCUCUAUAGUACACUAAUUUAAGAUUUCCAGAAAACCAGGGUUUAUUUUUGGAGUACCGCUGUUUUGAAGGUCAGAUGUACCACCUUAAUAGUCGAAUUUUGUAACAGAAUAUUAAAUUAAUCUUAAUUUGAAAACAAUUUGAUAUUGACAGAACAAAUAUCAAAUGAUCAUUUCAGAAAUACAUAAUUUGUGCUUCAAGUGCAAAGACUUUUCUAACAAUUAACAGUUGUUUUCUGAGCUAGUUCUGAUUGGUCAGGUUUUAUUGUCUGUUUCUUGCUUUUGUUCUAUGGAUAGUUCAGUGGUAUCUUUUUUUUCAGGAUAUGGUGUGCGUUAUUCAAAGGGAUCUUUUUAUGUAAUUUUGAAAUGAUAUACAUUUGAUAUUUGAUAGUAAUUGACCGAUUCAAUCCACAAAAAAACAUUCUUAUAAAGAAACCCUUUUAUUUUAUUGCUGUUCUUCAUAUUCAAGUUGACAGACAAGUCCUUCAACAAUGAGAAAAUGUAUCAAAAAAAUUGUUUAUAAAAAUGUUUUGGUUUGUGUACAUUAAUCUGAAUAAUAAUGACUUUCUUUUAUUUCCAAUUCUACCAAAGAGGACAGAAGAAGCAGCCCAAAGUGAAAGACUUGAAGAAAUAUAGGCAAUGUAAGUAGGAUUAAGUGAUUUUGCUGUUUGUGGCGUUUCCUCGAAGUAGCUGGUUACCUCCAAAUGGGACGACAGUCAUGGAUGUUGAGAUGGCCUACGUCGCAGACUCGCGAGGACGGGCGGCUCAGAUGUUCGCUAGCGACCUACGACAGCUACAGGCUUACUGCCUAUGCCUGUAGAAGGGGACUUUGAGAUGUCAUGCUGAAGUUUUCUGGAGAUUAUCUGGUUUCAUUUUUGGGAAGCAGUCCACAUGGAAAAAUGACGCAGCCAAACUAAAGAUACGCUGGAUUGGUUCUUUCUAAUGUCUCUGUUAUUAAGAAGCAGGAAAAAUUGAAGAAUAAGAGCGGGAAAAUGUCAAAUUUAGGUCUACAACAAAGAAACCCUUUUAUUUGAUUGCUGUUCUUCAUAUACAAGUUCACAGACAAGUCCUUCAACAAUGAGAAAAUGUUUAAAAAAAAUUGUGUAUAAAAAUGUUUUGAUUUGUGUACAUUAAUCUGAAUAAUAAUGACUUUCUUUUAUUUCCAAUUCUACCAAAGAGGACAGAAGAAGCAGCCCAAAGUGAAAGACUUGAAGAAAUAUAGGCAAUGUAAGUAGGAUUAAGUGAUUUUGCUGUUUGUGGCGUUUCCUCGAAGUAGCUGGUUACCUCCAAAUGGGACGACAGUCAUGGAUGUUGAGAUGGCCUACGUCGCAGACUCGCGAGGACGGGCGGCUGGGAUGUUCGCUAGCGACCUACGACAGCUACAGGCUUUCUGCCUAUGCCUGUAGAAGGGGACUUUGAGAUGUCAUGCUGAAGUUUUCUGGAGAUUAUCUGGUUUCAUUUUUGGGAAGCAGUCCACAUGGAAAAAUGAUGCAGCCAAACUAAAGAUAUGCUCGAUUGGUUCUUUCUAAUGUCCCUGUUAUUAAGAAGCAGGAAAAAUUGAAGAAUAAGAGAGGGAAAAUGUCAAAUUUACUUGGUCUACAACAAAGAAACCCUUUUACUUGAUUGCUGUUCAUCAUAUACAAGUUCACAGACAAGUCCUUUAACAAUGAGAAAAUGUUUAAAAAAAAUUGUGCUUAAAAAUGUUUUGAUUUGUGUAUAUUAAUCUGAAUAAUAAUGACUUUCUUUUAUUUCCAAUUCUACCAAAGAGGACAGAAGAAGCAGCCCAAAGUGAAAGACUUGAAGAAAUAUAGGCAAUGUAAGUAGGAUUAAGUGAUUUUGCUGUUUGUGGCGUUUCCUCGAAGUAGCUGGUUACCUCCAAAUGGGACGACAGUCAUGGAUGUUGAGAUGGCCUACGUCGCAGACUCGCGAGGACGGGCGGCUGGGAUGUUCGCUAGCGACCUACGACAGCUACAGGCUUACUGCCUAUGCCUGUAGAAGGGGACUUUGAGAUGUCAUGCUGAAGUUUUCUGGAGAUUAUCUGGUUUCAUUUUUGGGAAGCAGUCCACAUGGAAAAAUGAUGCAGCCAAACUAAAGAUAUGCUCGAUUGGUUCUUUCUAAUGUCCCUGUUAUUAAGAAGCAGGAAAAAUUGAAGAAUAAGAGAGGGGAAAUGUCAAAUUUACUUGGUCUACAACAAAGAAACCCUUUUAUUUUAUUGCUGUUCUUCAUAUACAAGUUCACAGACAAGUCCUUCAACAAUGAGAAAAUGUUUAAAAAAAAUUGUGUAUAAAAAUGUUCAGCUGUUUCUUACAGAGUUAUCUCCUAGUGUUAUGUAGGUGUCAGACCACCAAUUACUCCCUCAAAUUUUGAACGUAUGUAAAAGUAGGCCUACUGUAACACAAAAUAGUGCUUUUGAUGUCAUUGUUUACUUAAUUUAACCAACAAAUUUGCAGAAAUGAAACUUUUGGUGAAAGAGAAAUAUAUUUCGACCAUUUUGAGCUAAAAUUCACUUGUCUGUCAGUUUGCAUUAAAAAUUUGGGAUUAAUGCGCUCUAUAGUACACUAAUUUAAGAUUUCCAGAAAACCAGGGGUUAUUUUUGGAGUACCGCUGUUUUGAAGGUCAGAUGUACCAACCUUAAUAGUCAGAAUUUUGUAACAGAAUAUUAAAUUAAUCUUAAUUUGAAAACAAUUUGAUAUUGACAGAACAAAUAUCAAAUGAUCAUUUCAGAAAUACAUUGUGCUUCAAGUGCAAAGACUUUUCUAACAAUUAACAGUUGUUUUCUGAGCUAGUUCUGAUUGGUCAGGUUUUAUUGUCUGUUUCUUGCUUUUGUUCUAUGGAUAGUUCAGUGGUAUCUUUUUUUUUCAGGAUAUGGUGUGCGUUAUUCAAAGGGAUCUUUUUAUGUAAUUUUGAAAUGAUAUACAUUUGAUAUUUGAUAGUAAUUGACCGAUUCAAUCCACAAAAAAACAUUCUUAUAAAGAAACCCUUUUAUUUUAUUGCUGUUCUUCAUAUUCAAGUUGACAGACAAGUCCUUCAACAAUGAGAAAAUGUAUCAAAAAAAUUGUUUAUAAAAAUGUUUUGGUUUGUGUACAUUAAUCUGAAUAAUAAUGACUUUCUUUUAUUUCCAAUUCUACCAAAGAGGACAGAAGAAGCAGCCCAAAGUAAAAGACUUGAAGAAAUAUAGGCAAUGUAAGUAGGAUUAAGUGAUUUUGCUGUUUGUGGCGUUUCCUCGAAGUAGCUGGUUACCUCCAAAUGGGACGACAGUCAUGGAUGUUGAGAUGGCCUACGUCGCAGACUCGCGAGGACGGGCGGCUGGAUGUUCGCUAGCGACCUACGACAGCUACAGGCUUUCUGCCUAUGCCUGUAGAAGGGGACUUUGAGAUGUCAUGCUGAAGUUUUCUGGAGAUUAUCUGGUUUCAUUUUUGGGAAGCAGUCCACAUGGAAAAAUGAUGCAGCCAAACUAAAGAUAUGCUCGAUUGGUUCUUUCUAAUGUCCCUGUUAUUAAGAAGCAGGAAAAAUUGAAGAAUAAGAGAGGGAAAAUGUCAAAUUUACUUGGUCUACAACAAAGAAACCCUUUUAUUUGAUUGCUGUUCAUCAUAUACAAGUUCACAGACAAGUCCUUUAACAAUGAGAAAAUGUUUAAACAAAAUUGUGCUUAAAAAUGUUUUGAUUUAUGUACAUUAAUCUGAAUAAUAAUGACUUUCUUUAUUUCCAAUUCUACCAAAGAGGACAGAAGAAGCAGCCCAAAGUGAAAGACUUGAAGAAAUAUAGGCAAUGUAAGUAGGAUUAAGUGAUUUUGCUGUUUGUGGCGUUUCCUCGAAGUAGCUGGUUACCUCCAAAUGGGACGACAGUCAUGGAUGUUGAGAUGGCCUACGUCGCAGACUCGCGAGGACGGGCGGCUGGGAUGUUCGCUAGCGACCUACGACAGCUACAGGCUUCCUGCCUAUGCCUGUAAAAGGGGACUUUGAGAUGUCAUGCUGAAGUUUUCUGGAGAUUAUCUGGUUUCAUUUUUGGGAAGCAGUCCACAUGGAAAAAUGAUGCAGCCAAACUAAAGAUAUGCUCAAUUGGUUCUUUCUAAUGUUCCUGUUAUUAAGAAGCAGGAAAAAUUGAAGAAUAAGAGAGGGAAAAUGUCAAAUUUACUUGGUCUACAACAAAGAAACCCUGAUUGCUGUUGAUCAUAUACAAGUUCACAGACAAGUCCUUCAACAAUGAGAAAAUGUUUUAAAAAAAUUGUGCUUAAAAAUGUUUUGAUUUGUGUACAUUAAUCUGAAUAAUAAUGACUUUCUUUUGUUUCCAAUUCUACCAAGGAAAAUAGCCAUACAAUUUUUAUAGAUUUAUAGAUAUAGAAAUGAAAAUGUACAUAAGACAUCAAACAAUAUAUUUAUUUGAAUUUGUUUCAUUCAUAUCUCCAAACACGAGUUGAUUAUAUAGGGAAUCACUGAAGCAUGAAGUGCCCCCCCUUUUUUUAUGUCAGUCAGAGGGGCCCCUUAUAAAAAGUGCUGGAUCUGCCACUGAUUAAACAUGUUUGUGAGUGCUCAACCAACAAUGGACUAACCUGUUACAAUAAGAAUAAACUGAAAAAUAUGGUUCUAUUGGCUUUACUCCAUAGAUUGGUACGAGGCACAUAAAUCACAACGAACAUAGAAAGUAGACACAAAGAAAUAAAUCAUGUUUUUAUGCCCCAUUCAUGGGCAUUAUGUUUUCUGGUAUGUCUGUCCGUUAUUUCGUUCGUACGUCUGUCCGUCCCGCUUCAGGUUAAAGUGUUUGGUCGAGGUAGUUUUUGAUGAACUUGAAGUCCAAUCAACUUGAAACUAAGUACUCAUGUUCCCUAUAUGAUAUUUCUAAUUUUAAUGUUUAAUGAGAGAUUUUCUUCCCUUUUCACGGUCCACUGAAUAUAGAAAAUGAUAGUGCAAAUGGGUGGGGCAUCCGUGUAGUGUUGACACAUUCUUGUUUUAACUGAAGUAUCAUUAAUAUUCACAGACUAAUUGAGUUUCGUGGGGUGGAACCAGGGUUUUCACAUGAAGCUCGAUUUUUAAGCAAGACAAAAUUUUGUUUUUUUACAUCAUUCAUAUCCUAUUUGCCAAAAAUAAAUCCAGAAUAUUUUUUUGUAACUGAAUAUAUAAGUCAGAUUAUUUGUUUAAACAUUACAGAUUAGCUUUGGGCUUGUCCUUAAGGAUUGAGACUGAAAAUGGCAAUUGGAUCAGACUUUUAAAGUAAGUUUUAAUCAUUACAUAGAUUUUUUAAUUUCUGAACUCAAUUCAUGUGUAAAAUGGGAGUUUGCGUGGGGUAUAAUAUUUUUGACCUGUCUGUCCUGUUCGUCAGCCUGGUUCUUGUCAUUGCAACUCCUCUAAAACCACAAUUUCAUAAAACAAGGUAGUAUGUACACAAUACUAUGUAGUUGUGCAUAUAAAGAAGAAAUUAUGAGUCAAUUUUUUUUUCUAGGGGUUACGUUAUGCCCCUCUGAACUUAAAUUAAGGCCUAUACUGCUGUAACAGUUGCACUACAAGUCCUUUGAAACUGCACAACAGAAUUUCAUGGAUCUUUAAAGUUAAUGAGGACAGUAUGGCAUAUCCACAAGAAAUGUUUAUCAGUUGACUUUUUUCUAUCAAUACAAGCACAACAGAUUUCUUUAACAAGUAUAUCUAUAGUGCUUGGAUUGACCUGUAAAAGGAAUAUUUCAUACAAGUAUACUGCUUUUAUUAUUUGUUUAUAGGCUGAUGUAAGGACUGGUUCCAUGGUGUUGAAAGUAAGAAUUGACGAUCUGAUACUGCAAACAUAUUGGUAGAUAUACCUAAAUUUUUAUCCCCCACAUAACACCAUAAUAUCUCGGACAAGUUCUAUAAUGGUGAACGAUCAACUUUUUUUAAUAUAAUUAUGGCCUAUGGAAAUAUUAAAUAAGUGCAACGAGUGGGACAUUGGAACUAUAUUCUUUUAUUUUAAUCUAAAAGUGUUUGGAUGUCAAUUAAAUAACGAUUCGGGUAUCGUAAAGAUUGCAUUACAUGGAGAUAUUCAGCUCCAGAGGUAAGAGGGUACAUAAUUGUCCAAGAUAGUAGAGAUACUGUCAACGUUUGAAACAGAAAUUGUUUUGGGGAUAUCAUUGCUUUCUAGCAAUCUGUAGACUUAUACCAUUGGCUCAGGGCCAUGCCCUCACGUCAACCAUUUUAUUCUAAACAUUAAGGAACAUCUCAGAUUCUUAUGAUUGUCUUGCUUGAAAAGGUAAAAAAAACCAAAGGGGUGGAACUUAAACAACUUUCCUAUAAUGUUCUUUUCAUAAUCUUCAUGUUUGAUAUUUCCCUCGACUUAUAUGCAUGUUUUUAACAACACGGAAAGUCAGAAUUGAGCAGUAUUUAUAUUUAGUGUUUUUAUAAAUUUAGAAACACGUCAGAAGGAAUUCCCCAGUUUUGAUAAAAAUGCAAGAGUUCUCUGAAUUCCUGAAAAAUUCUAUUUCUGUCAUAAAAACUGAUGUGGAGUUUUUCUUAUAUGUCACCGUUAUGAAACUGAUAUUUGAUAUUGUACUUCCAUAAAGAAAUAGAGAACCUUUAACAUUUAAUAUACGUUCUUGCUUCAGGGUUUGUUUAGGUAAUUAUGUGCAUGUGUAUAGUUUUCUCGACUUCAAGGGAUAUUAGAUUGAAUGGUUGCUCUGGAUUCCCCACUCAACCUGUGAACAGUAUAUCCAAGGAUUUGUAUAGUAAGAUCCUUGGUAUAUAUAUCUAAAUAAUAUAUAUGUUCCUGACUCAACUGAUUCUAAAACAAUACAACACAUCGAGAAAAAUUAACUUGUUCUAUCGAUAAACGUCGUAUUAUAUUAAAAACCAUCGCAAUUUAAACCAUGGAAUGUGUACAGAAAUAAGUCAUGACCAUUGACCCAAAGGAAAUUAAAUAUUUAAAGAGUUAGGAAUGGGGUUCCUCCUAGAAUUAACGUAGGAAAAAUUAUAGGUGAUAAGAUACCAAGUGAAAUACGUUCUCUCACUCUGAGUCUCAGUGACUGCUGUGGAAAGUAAACUUGGAAGUGAUAGUACAAAAAUAAAACACAACAAGUACAUUGUUCGAACUGUUACACUUGUAUCUGGGAUUAGUUAUUUUGUAACUAUUCAGAUUACGUAAAUUAUAUUUUACAUGUGCAGUUGAAUUAGUUUUAAAAAUAAUAAUAUCCAGCUACAUGCAUGUAUACAUGUAUCAAUGAAAACAAUGGCAAUCGUAUCCCUCAGAGCAAUCUGCUCUUUGAUUGACUUUUUUUAAUUUAUCUAGAUUUAAACUAAAUAUCCACUGGAUUUCUUGAGUAGGAGUUAUGAAACAAAGUACCAAUCAAUCAACCAACUUUCUAUCAUUUAAUAUCCACAGAAAUCCAUGUUUUCCUUAAUCACAAUGUAAAUCAUUUAAUCCACUGUCGAUUUUUGAAGAGUUUACAGCUAAUUUCCUAAUGCUUGUAGAGUAAAACGUUGGUUGGCUUGCUUGCUUUGUUUGUAUAAUUGUUUAUUCAAGCUUUGUAAUUAAGAUUGACAUCUCCAAACAAUAUAUAUGACAUAGUUAAACCUGUAUAUAUCAUAUUUAAAUUCAAUUGGACAUUUUCCCAAUAUAAUUGUACAAUAUACAAACAAAGCAAGCAAACUAACCAAAGUCUUCAUCUGCAUGCAUUAGGAAAUUAGCUGUAUAUAACUGAUUCAACUUUGUAUUACAGGUAAGCAUCACAGCUUGUCCUGUUGGAUACUGGCCGGAGUAGAAUUUGGAUCUUUUUGA
rnacentral:lncRNA from 1 species